rnacentral:rRNA from 1 species
UACAGAGGGUGCGAGCGUUAAUCGGAAUUACUGGGCGUAAAGGGCGCGUAGGUGGUUUGAUAAGAUGGUUGUGAAAUACCUGGGCUUAACCUGGGAAUGGCAAUCAAGACUGUUAGACUUGAGUACGGUAGAGGAUAGUGGAAUUUCCGGUGUAGCGGUGAAAUGCGCAGAUAUCAGGAAGAACACCUAUGGCGAAGGCAGCUCUCUGGGACGGUACUGACGCUGAGACGCGAAAGCGUGGGGAGCGAACAGG